AUGUAACCGCCAUGGGGGUAGGAGCCCAGAACUAUUCUCCGACUUCAGCUGCCAGAUGAUAUGAGAAGCUGCGAUUUCCACUUCUGAUCAUUUCUCAUUUUCCUGAAGCCAUAGACGAAAGUAAGGCUCCUUCUUGAGAAGAGGCAGGAACAAAGGAAGGAAGCCAUACUCCCCGCGUGCCGGGAUUGACAUUUCCAGUCACAGAUGAUCAGCAGGGAUCAACGCAUGUGCUACUCGAUUCGGGUACAGUAAAGUCUGUGUUCAGAGUUCCCAAGCAAGUUCACACCUCAAUAUGAAGAAGCUUCAAGAUCUGAGAUUGUCUUUGUCCUCCUGUAGAGCUGUGGAAGCAGCUUCCCAGACCAAUAGCAACUGCAGGAGCUUCUCUUGGUGGAGGAAUCUGAGAGGCUUGCAAGCAGACACAGGAUGCUGCUAUGGCCGGGCCAGGGAGGGGGUGGGGGGUGAGGAGUGGGAGGUGAGGGGGAAGAAAGCUCACCUAGCCAUGGGUUCUAAGGUUAACCGGUGUUGGACCAUGCAGAAUGACACAAGCACAAUGUGAAGUAACCGGCGAGGCUGCUGAGGUGCCCCCACUUGCAGUUGGGGUCAGCAGCAUGGUGUCUUGGAUUAAAGUCCCCAAGAUAAAGGAAGCCUCUCUCCUCCCCUACUGGCAUCA